rnacentral:rRNA from 1 species
UACACACCGCCCGUCACAUCACGAAAGCCGGCUGUACUAGAAGUCGCUGUGCUAACCCUUUGGGGGGCAGGCGCCUAAGGUAUGGUCGGUGAUUGGGGUG